rnacentral:rRNA from 1 species
AUUGAACGCUGGCGGCAGGCCUAACACAUGCAAGUCGAGCGAGCGGCGGACGGGUGAGUAAUGUAUGGGAAACUGCCUGAUAGAGGGGGAUAACUACUGGAAACGGUGGCUAAUACCGCAUACCCUCGGAUGUGCCCCUAUGGGAUUAGCGAGGCGGUAGGGUAACGGCUCACCUAGGCGACGAUCCCUAGCUGGUCUGAGAGGAUGACCAGCCACACUGGGACUGAGACACGGCCCAGACUCCUACGGGAGGCAGCAGUGGGGAAUAUUGCACAAUGGGCGCAAGCCUGAUGCAGCCAUGCCGCGUGUGUGAAGAAGGCCCUCGGGUUGUAAAGUACUUUCAGUCGGGAGGCGUUACCCGCAGAAGAAGCACCGGCUAACUCCGUGCCAGCAGCCGCGGUAAUUC